GACGAACGCUGGCGGCGUGCUUAACACAUGCAAGUCGAACGAGAGGAGAAGGAAGCUCGCUUCUUUCAAAUCUAGUGGCAAACGGGUGAGUAACACGUAAACAACCUGCCUUCAGGAUGGGGACAACAGACGGAAACGACUGCUAAUACCGAAUACGUUCCUUAGGUCGCAUGACUUUAGGAAGAAAGGGUGGCCUCUACUUGUAAGCUAUCGCCUGAAGAGGGGUUUGCGUCUGAUUAGGUAGUUGGUGAGGUAACGGCCCACCAAGCCGACGAUCAGUAGCCGGUCUGAGAGGAUGAACGGCCACAUUGGGACUGAGACACGGCCCAGACUCCUACGGGAGGCAGCAGUGGGGAAUCUUCCGCAAUGGGCGAAAGCCUGAUGCAGCAACGCCGCGUGAGCGAAGAAGGUCUUCGGAUCGUAAAGCUCUGUCCUUGGGGAAGAUAAUGACGGUACCCUUGGAGGAAGCCCCGGNUAACUACGUG
rnacentral:rRNA from 1 species